UGUCUCCUGAUUGGCCGCUCCAGCGCCAGGCAGGAUGGGAUUGGAAGCCAAAUACGGGCGGGAGGAGACGGACAAGGAGCUGGGUCCCCUUUGGGGGGAGACGAAACCUCGGGACUGAGAGAGGCCAGAAAGUGUUGGUUUGGAUUCCUAAGGAAUUUCCAACAAAAAAGAAAUGGAGGAACAAGACACUUUCAGAUCAUGUCAUAUCUUGUACAUUAAAAUAAGAAUGUGAACAAGAAAGAUAAGUGAUGAUGUGUAAAUGAGCAAAAGGUGACUCUAGGCCCCAAAACUAGAUGAAAUCUGGAAAGAACCCGCUCGUGUUUCCUAGUCCCAAGUGUUGGGGCAGGGCAACUGAAGAGCUUCGGAGAGAUAAGAAUGGUAAGAAAAUCUGAGAAGCCAGACUUCAAGUGUCGUGUCUCCAUCCAGACUGUGCACGUUGGGGAUUUGAGUGAGAUUUCUGGGGGGUCCCUGAUCACAUGCCUACCAGACACUAACAUCCGCAGUCAGAAGUGCUGUCCCACAGCGCUGCAGGGAAGGGGACUGCUUUCUGUGCUGGCUGGGCACCUAUGGCCCUGUGAGUGGGCUGCGAGUGGAGGUCAUGCCUAGCAUCUUCCUGACAAGAGAGCCAUGAGCUCUGUAUUGAGAUGGUGGUGUGCCCCGUUCACAGAAAACAGAUUUAUACAUUGAUUGAAUGGUUCAUUCUAAGUGAUUCCAAAAGAGAUGAAGGAGAAAGCGACCUCUCCAGGAACGACCCCAUUCCAGCAACUCUUCUCCUGUUGGAAAACAACCACCAAAUCUUAACCGAAUGACGGGUGCCUACUUGCUGAUCCAGCGCCCCUCUAACCUGUGUCCCCGGAUUGUCAUGUGUGAGUAUAAAGAACAUGUGGCAAGGUACAGGGUGGGGACAACUCUUUUAACUUACUCCUUUAAACUUGUUUGAACUUUAAUAUAUUUAUACAUCAGCCAAGAGGGGUUUUUGUUCAUUUACUUUAGAAGAAUAACCUGUGCUUCUUAUAAAACAAGAUGCAACAAAAUAAAAAUGUACAAAAAGUGAGAGUCCUUCCCCUUCGUGACCCACUCUUUUGCCAAAGCUCAUCGUCUCUCUCUCUCCCACUCCCCGCUCUCAUCAUAUGGUGCACACUAAUCUGAAAAUUGCUUAUGUUACUCAAAAAUACCUUGGGAUUGUGCUUUUGUGUCAAUAUGGACAACUACACCUUGUUCUUCUAGGUCCCCACGUAACGUUCUAUAGGAUACACACACCAUCAUAUAUUUAACCAUUCCCCGAGUAACAGGCAUUAGGUAGUCUCCAAUGUUCAUUUUUAUAAACAAUACUGUCAUAAGUCUAUCUCAUAACGGUACACUUUUGUAUACUUUCAUAAGUCUUUGUAGGAGAAAUUCUUAGAAGUUGAAUGGCAAAACUCCUCCCUCCUACGCACAGAACUCCCACGCCGGCCAAGUAUCCGUCACACCAGCCUUCAAAGUCAGACCUCCAUGGUCCUUCUCCCCUAUUCACAUCCACUUCCACCUUUCAUCUACAUGCUGCCCCUCGCUGGUUUCACUGGAGGCAGGCCACUUUCUUUUGUGCUCAGGGGAUCUGCCCAGGCAAAAAGAAGCAAGAAUUCAUGUCAUUAAUAUAAAACACACUUUCAAAAUGAUGGUCUGAGAAAGAGCCUACUGAGAAAUGGUGGAUAAGGAAGUGGGUACUCUGAGGUCAUAAACUAGACUGAAUGUGUUCUCGGAGUCCCCAGUAGUUCUUAUUUUUGACUCCCCAUCUCAGUGCUGGGUAGGAAGCAUUUCUGAGUAUUUUAGUAGAUUCUCUUCCCUAACCAAUAGCUCCUUCAUUAGGCAGCUUGUGCCAGGAGAAGCAGACUGGCUGGUGCCGACAGUUGGUGAUGCGUGUUGCAAGGUUCCUUUGUAAGCCACAUGUCAUUUAGUCCCUGCAACCAUCCCGGGAAGGGUAGGGGCAAUGACAGGGGCCCAGCAAUGAGGAAGUGACUUGCCUGGCCAGUGAGUGAGGCCCAGGGUUCUUAGACAGGUCACCCUGACACCAAAGCCCAGGUUUCUUUCACUAUUUGAAAAAUUUGUUGUAGUCUUACUCCAGACCAUUUCUUCUAGAUAAGUGGUUAAAUGAUCUCCUUGUACAAGUUCACCUCCUCCCUAGGAUCAGAAAGAGAAAAUCAGUUUCUGCUGGGUUGGACUCAUGGUCUGUUGUUUGCAUUUAUUUCUUGAAUUAUUUUUGUCUUCCAUCCUUAGAUAAAAUUUCAAUAAGCAACAGAAAACCUUUAUUUGAAAUUGGCCCAUUGGGAAAGUAGAGACUAAGUAAGAUACAGCUUUGUCUGCAAAAGUCCUUUAC